GAUGAACGCUGGCGGCGUGCCUAAUACAUGCAAGUCGAACGAAACUUCUUUAUCACCGAGUGCUUGCACUCACCGAUAAAGAGUUGAGUGGCGAACGGGUGAGUAACACGUGGGCAACCUGCCCAAAAGAGGGGGAUAACACUUGGAAACAGGUGCUAAUACCGCAUAACCAUAGUUACCGCAUGGUAACUAUGUAAAAGGUGGCUAUACUACCGCUUUUGGAUGGGCCCGUGGCGCAUUAGCUAGUUGGUAGGGUAAAGGCUUACCAAGGCAAUGAUGCGUAGCCGAAUUGAGAGGUUGAUCGGCCACAUUGGGACUGAGACACGGCCCAAACUCCUACGGGAGGCAGCAGUAGGGAAUCUUCCACAAUGGGCGAAAGCCUGAUGGAGCAACGCCGCGUGGGUGAAGAAGGUCUUCGGAUCGUAAAACCCUGUUGUUAGAGAAGAAAGUGCGUGAGAGUAACUGUUCACGUUUCGACGGUAUCUAACCAGAAAGCCACGGCUAACUACGUG
rnacentral:rRNA from 1 species